rnacentral:rRNA from 1 species
UACGUAGGGGGCGAGCGUUGUCCGGAUUUAUUGGGCGUAAAGGGCGUGUAGGCGGCCGCGUAAGUCAGGGGUGAAACCCCGGGGCUCAACCCCGGGCCGGCCUCUGAAACUGCAUGGCUUGAGUGCUCUAGAGGGCAGUGGAAUUGCCGGUGUAGCAGUGAAAUGCGUAGAGAUCGGCAGGAACACCAGUGGCGAAGGCGACUGUCUGGGGAGCAACUGACGCUGAGGCGCGAAAGCUGGGGGAG